rnacentral:tRNA from 1 species
GGAAUAGUAGCUCAGUUGGUUAGAACCGACAACUUAUAAUUGUCAGACGCGAGUUCAAAUCUCGACUAUUCCACCA